rnacentral:rRNA from 1 species
AGUGAACGCUGGCGGUAGGCCUAACACAUGCAAGUCGAACGGCCGCACAGUAAGAUCGUGCUCUUACGGGUGGCGAGGGGCGGAUGGGUGAGGAAUACAUCGGAAUCUACUUUUUCUGGGGUGAUAACGGAGGGAAACUUACGCUAAUACCGCAUACUAUCUACGGGUGGAAUCAGGGGAUAUUCAGACUUUUCGCGAUUGAAUUAGCCGAUGUCGCAUUAGAUAGUUGGGUUGGUAACGGCCCACCAAGGCGACGAUCCGUAGCUGGGCUGAGAGGAUGAUCAGCCACACUGGAACUGAGACACGGUCCAGACUCCUACGGGAGGCAGCAGUGGGGAAUAUUGGACAAUGGGCGGAAGCCUGACGCAGCAAUACCGCGUGGGUGAAGAAGGCCUUCGGGUCGUAAAGCCCUUUUGUUGGGGAAGAAAAGCAGUAGAAUAAAAUCCCGCUGUCCUGACGGUACCCAAACAAUAAGCAACGGCUAACUUCGUG